UACAGAGGUCCCGAGCGUUGUUCGGAUUCACUGGGCGUAAAGGGUGCGUAGGUGGUGAGGUGUGUCGGAUGUGAAAUCUCGGAGCUUAACUCCGAAAUGGCAUUGGAAACUACCUUGCUUGAGGGUUGGAGGGGGGACUGGAAUACUUGGUGUAGCAGUGAAAUGCGUAGAUAUCAAGUGGAACACCAGUGGCGAAGGCGAGUCCCUGGACAACUCCUGACACUGAGGCACGAAAGCUAGGGGAGCAAACAGG
rnacentral:rRNA from 1 species